GAGGAACACUGGCGGCGUGCCUAAUACAUGCAAGUCGAGCGAACAGACGAGGAGCUUGCUCCUCUGACGUUAGCGGCGGACGGGUGAGUAACACGUGGAUAACCUACCUAUAAGACUGGGAUAACUUCGGGAAACCGGAGCUAAUACCGGAUAACAUGUUGAACCGCAUGGUUCAACAGUGAAAGACGGUCUUGCUGUCACUUAUAGAUGGAUCCGCGCCGCAUUAGCUAGUUGGUAAGGUAACGGCUUACCAAGGCAACGAUGCGUAGCCGACCUGAGAGGGUGAUCGGCCACACUGGAACUGAGACACGGUCCAGACUCCUACGGGAGGCAGCAGUAGGGAAUCUUCCGCAAUGGGCGAAAGCCUGACGGAGCAACGCCGCGUGAGUGAUGAAGGUCUUCGGAUCGUAAAACUCUGUUAUUAGGGAAGAACAAAUGUGUAAGUAACUAUGCACGUCUUGACGGUACCUAAUCAGAAAGCCACGGCUAACUACGUG
rnacentral:rRNA from 1 species